rnacentral:lncRNA from 1 species
UGAUCUAAAGGGGGAAAUGGGCAGGUAUGGUCUAGUAGUCAUUGUAGAGGUGCUGGCAUCCAAAGGUGAAAGAGAAAAGCAUUAUAUGAAGUCAAGUAAGAGUCCAAGGAUUUGGGUAUUCAAAUAGCUUAGAUACUGAAUUUCCCAGUUUAAAACUCACUUGAUGUAAAAGCUAUCUUUCUUUCCUUCAGAGCCCUAGCACUGGGAGUCUACCUUGACCCUCUGGAUCUUCUAUGUGGCCCUCAUUUUUUUGUUUUUUUUUUUUAAAGAUACAAUCCCUUUAAUUCACUUUUAGAUAUAUGCACCAAAGACAUUUAUAAAAACUAAUGGGAAGCACUUGGGAUUAGUCCAGCCCAGGGUCUAUAGGAAUGGUGAAGAUGGGAAAUGAUGGGGCUACAACUGGCCCUACCUCAGGAGAGGUCAUCUGCUUCUCAGCAGAGGCCUAACCUCAAUUAAACUCAAGACUGACACAGCCAAUAAAUCAACUGAGACAUGAGAGUUGAGGAGAAGAAUACAGGAAGAGGUAUAGCUUGGGUAUAGAAAGGCCCCGGGCUCCUUUAAAAGACCAAGAGAAGUAUGAUCAUCUUCAUUAUUCUCUUUCCAUUCUCCUCUUGGUUCCCAGGAGACUGGAGAACCUUCCUAAGUAGUGGGGUAAAACCAAACAUCAAUGGAGCAUGAAAGAUAAGAGGAUCUCAGCAAGUGUGAGAAGACACAAAUAAUCUCCUUUCUGAAGGGCCCCUUGAUCAAUCCUUGGACUUCUCUUCUUCCAAGGCUCUAAUAUUUAUCCAUUUUCAAAAUCCUAGACCUGCUGCUGGAGUUUACUGCAUUGGAAACAACUGUGCUCAGUUGGUAGAAGAUGAAUCCAUAAUUGAAGAAAACUCUAUAUUUGGAUCAACAUAGUAUAUCAAUGGCUUUGGACAUUAACUUGAAAAUUAGCAAAAUCUUCACUAGUAAUGGUAAGAAGAAGACAAAAGUCAUUUCCUCUCCAGCCCUACCCUUUGGAGGGAAUGUGUGGUUUUGCGUCUUUGGCUUUGGGGAAGUGACUGAGCAGUGGCAGUAAAAUGGGUUGAGAGAGGGGCACUGGGGUGUGUGUGUGUGUGUGUGUGUAGGAAAAGAGCCCCAGGAGCAA